rnacentral:rRNA from 1 species
GUAGGUGGCAAGCGUUGUCCGGAAUUAUUGGGCGUAAAGCGCGCGCAGGUGGGUUCUUUAAGUCUGAUGUGAAAGCCCCCGGGCUCAACCGGGGAGGGUCAUUGGAAACUGGGGAACUUGAGUGCAGGAGAGGAAAGUGGAAUUCCACGUGUAGCGGUGAAAUGCGUAGAUAUGUGGAGGAACACCAGUGGCGAAGGCGACUUUCUGGCCUGUAACUGACACUGAGGCGCGAAAGCGUGGGGAGCAAACAGGAUUAGAUACCCUGGUAGUCCACGCCGUAAACGAUGAGUGCUAACGUGUGGGGGUUCCGCCCUCAGUGCUGCAGCUAACGCAUUAAGCACUCCGCCUGGGGAGUACGGUCGCAAGACUG